rnacentral:tRNA from 1 species
GGGCCCGUAGCUCAGCAAGGUAGAGCGGCGGGCUCUUAACCCGUAGGUCUGGGGUUCAAUUCCCCACGGGCCCGCCA